UGCAAACCUUGGUGUCCUUGAUAAGCUUAUUGCAGCUCGUCAUGAGCUUGCAGAGAUAAUGGGGUAUAAAUCUUACGCUCAAUUUGCAGUUCAUCCGAAUAUUGCAUCAUCACGAGAUGUUGUGAUGCCCUUUUUGCUUGAUUUAAGCAAGAUUGUUACGCAUAAGGCUGAUGAGGAGUUUUAAGGCAAUUAGGGAUUUCAAGAGGAAAAUAUGCAAUGAAGAUUGUGCAGACUUGGAGCCAUGGGAUGAAGCUUAUUUCACGGGAAUGAUGAAGUCUUCUACCUUCAACUUAGACUCCUCCGUAAGUUGAACCAUUGUUGUUUCAUGAACUUUACUUGCUUUUUUGUGGCACAACUCCUUGCGUGAUUUGAGCCUUAGAUGUCUUUUCAAACUAAAUUUGAAAACCUAAACCUAAAUCCGAUCCCCAACCCGAACCCGAACCCGAUUUCCUAAACUUAAACCUUAACCUAUUCUUAAUUCCCUAAAGUUAUAACCUGUAACCU